rnacentral:misc_RNA from 1 species
UUUCCGUAGGUGAACCUGCGGAAGGAUCAUUAUUGAAUAAUACUGCUGUGUUUGUAGCUGGCCCUUUCGGGAGCCUGUGCAUACCCGUCGUCUUUAUCUUUCCACCUGUGCACCUUUUGUACACCUGGAUGUAACACUUUCCGUGGCAACUCGGUCGGGAGGAAUGCGCUCAGCUUUCCUUGAAUGUCCAGGCCUAUGUUUUCAUAUACCCCAAAGAGUGUAACAGAAUGUAUUAUUGGGCCUUGUGCCUAUAAACUAUAUAAAACUUUCAGCAACGGAUCUCUUGGUUCUG